CUGGAAGCGAUGGAGCUGGAGCCUCUGCAGAGCUAAGACGUCCACAUGGCAGCGUGGGAUACGCGUGCAGAACGCGUGACUGUGGAGGAGAAAGGAUUUGCUUCCUCCGUGGGAAAUGCUGGACUCUUUAACCUCAAUAAAAGUGUCCGGGAGGCCAGAAGUGUGAAGUCAAGGUGUCGGCCUGGCCGUGCUCCCUCCGGAGUCUUCAGGGGAGGGUCCUUCCUGCCUCUUCCAGCUCCUGGUGGCUCCUGCAGUCCUUGGCUCACAGCUGCAUCUCCCCAGCCUUGGCCUCCGUCUUCACAUAAUCAUAUUCUCUGAGUUUUCUCCUCUCUUUUCUGUUUUUCUCCUCUGUGUAUCUCAUAAACACACUUGUCAUUGGAUUUAGGGCCCGCCUGGCUAAUCCAGGAUGAUCCCCUUUGGAGAUCCUUAACCUUAUUACAUCUUCAAAAAGCCCCUUUUCAAAAAAGGUCACAUUCACAGUUUCCAGAUAUAAUUUUCUGGACAUGUCUUUCUGGAGGCCACCAUUCUACCCACUACAGAUGGUGACUGUUAGGGGCUGAAUGGUGGCCCUCAAAUUUCAUAUGUUGAAAUCCCCACUCCCAGUACCUCAGAAUGUGGCUCUAUUUGGAGAUAAGGUUUUUAAAGGAUUAAUUAAGUUAAAAUGAGGCUAUAAAGGUGGAACCUUAGCUAAUAUGACUGGCAUCUUUGUUUAAACAGGGAGAGACACUGGGGGGUGUGUGUGCACAGAAAAAUAGCAGGUGAAGACACAGUGAGAGGGCAGCCUUCUACAAGGCAAGGAGAGAGGCCUCGGGAAACUAGCCCCGCUAGCACCCUGACCUUGGACGUCCAGCCUCCAGAACUGUGAGACAAUAAAGUCCUGUUGCCAGGCUUCUGAGGUCCUGGAGACCCACAGCUAGGCUGGGAGCAGGAUGGCUGCUGUGAAGGUGGUAGCUGCGGAAGAAGUGGUGGCAGUGGUCACAGCCCUGGGAGAGAUGAAGGGGUCUACAUGGGCCAGCACUGAGACCUGUCAUGGAGGCCAACAGGAAUCCCCAUCCCUGGAGCCGUCUGCGACUUGCAGGCUGAGUUCUUCCCCUGCGUGGCCUGAAGUGGCCCAGCUGUGAGAAGCCAUUGUGAGGAAUGAUGUUUGUUUAAUAGAGAGUGCGCCAGCAUCGAACUGUCUGCAGGCUGAACCCCUAGGGAGGAGGAGAGGAAAGAAAGCCCGAUGGCUUCAGGCUCAGGUCUUUAAAACUCGUUCUGGGAGAGAACACAUUUGCAGAGCCCCACACUGGGCUCCAGGCUCCUAGAAGCAGCGGGAGCCUGCGUGGGGGCUUUGCAGUUCUUCAUGGAUCGCCGGUUUCAUCUUCUGGGGCCCACCACGCUGACUUGUAUGCAGCUUGCCUGGUGCCGACGGCCUCCAUCCAGCACCCCCUGGACCUGCCUCCGAGUCUGGGUUUGGGGAGCAGAAACAGCAUGAUCUGGGGGACAGGGAUGGUCCCUAGGGGUUGUUAGGCUCCUCUGCCCUCCACCCCACCCACGUAGGCACCAGAUACGAAUGCAAAUGGAGUCACCUCUGGGCCAGCUGUCCUGAUCCUCCUGGGCCCCUGGGGUUUCCCUCCUGACUCUGCUCCCUGGCGGUCUGGGCUGUCUAUGUAGUCCUGCCUGGGAGUCCCAGGCAGGCUGGCGGAGGAGAUGGUGUCAGGGCUGGGCUUGGGAGGAUAGGAGGAAGUUUCCAGGAGUGGAGGGAAGGGGUGGGCAUUUCUGAUGCUAAAAGGGGGUCCCAAGGCCUGGAGUUGCCUGGGGCCUGAGGGUGGCACUGGGAAGUCAAUAGCAGGCUUUUAAAAAUAUUUCUUAUUGUGGUAAAAUACGCA
rnacentral:lncRNA from 1 species